UACGUAGGGGGCAAGCGUUAUCCGGAAUUAUUGGGCGUAAAGAGUACGUAGGCGGUUCUCUAAGCGCAGGGUAUAAGGCAAAGGCUUAACCAUUGUUCGCCCUGUGAACUGGAGGACUUGAGUACAGGAGAGGAAAGCGGAAUUCCUAGUGUAGCGGUGAAAUGCGUAGAUAUUAGGAGGAACACCAGUGGCGAAGGCGGCUUUCUGGACUGAAACUGACGCUGAGGUACGAAAGCGUGGGGAGCAAACAGG
rnacentral:rRNA from 1 species